rnacentral:rRNA from 1 species
CCUACGGGAGGCAGCAGUGAGGAAUAUUGGUCAAUGGGUGAAAGCCUGAACCAGCCAAGUCGCGUGAGGGAAUAAGGCCCUACGGGUCGUAAACCUCUUUUGCCGGGGAGCAAGUGCCGGUACGUGUCCCGGCCCGGAGAGUACCCGGAGACAAAGCAUCGGCUAACUCCGUGCCAGCAGCCGCGGUAAUACGGAGGAUCCGAGCGUUAUCCGGAGUUAUUGGGUUUAAAGGGAGCGUAGAUGGGGUGUUAAGUCAGUUGUGAAAGUUUGCGGCUCAACCGUAAAAUUGCAAUUGAUACUGUGAGUCUUGAGUACAGUUGAGGUAGGCGGAAUGCGUGGUGUAGCGGUGAAAUGCUUAGAUAUCACGAAGAACCCCGAUUGCGAAGGCAGCUUACUAAACUGUGACUGACAUUGAUGCUCGAAAGUGUGGGUAGCAAACAGGAUUAGAUACCCGAGUAGUC